rnacentral:rRNA from 1 species
AUUGAACGCUGGCGGCAGGCUUAACACAUGCAAGUCGAACGAGCGGCGGACGGGUGAGUAAUGUAUGGGGAUCUGCCUGAUGGAGGGGGAUAACUACUGGAAACGGUAGCUAAUACCGCAUACCAUCAGCUGAACCCAUAUGGGCUUAGCUGGUAGGUAAGGUAACGGCUUACCUAGGCGACGAUCCCUAGCUGGUCUGAGAGGAUGAUCAGCAACCUGGGGACUGAGACACGGCCGAGACUCCUACGUGAGGCAGCAGUGGGGAAUAUUGCACAAUGGGCGAAAGCCUGAUGCAGCCAGGCCGCGUGUAUGAAGAAGGCCUUAGGGUUGUAAAGUACUUUCAGCGGGGAGGCGUUACCCGCAGAAGAAGCACCGGCUACUCCGUGCCAGCCGCCGCGGUAAUUC